ensembl:lncRNA
CAAAACCAAGAGUCAAACAUUUGGAUAUGUCUGAUAUCACCACACUAGAAGCAGAACAUGCGUGAAGGCGCUGCAGGAGACCAGCACUAUGAGGACUAAAGACCACAAGAUCAUCUGUGUAAACAGUGUGGUUCACAAGAGUCCUGCCAGUCAUGCAGCCACUGUGUGUGUGUGUGUGUGUGUGUCUGUUCUGGUGUUCUCAUAUUUGUGUAGUUUUGGGACAGUGAGGAGGGUUUCCACCUCUGGGUUGCAGAGUGCAGAGCUUCAGUUGAUGCUGGAUCAUUGUAGGACAAACAGUCAGUGUCACUCUGGCUUGUAAGUCAAGAUUUCCUUUUUGUGUUUUUAAAAUUACGUACCCAUUUUCUCCUUUAUGUCCAGGAAUCUUGGGGAGGGGAAAGCUCAGAGACUUUUUUUUAAAUAGUUCUGGAAAAGCUGUGGAAGGAUGUUUUUUGUAUUUGGAGAAUCAGACCAGGAGCUGGGGAUUACACUGCUGUGGAUGUCACUUUUUUAACUGUUUUUUUUUUUCACCAUUUUCACUUGUAAAAAAUUCCCUGUUUCUGCUAAGAAAGUGCAGCUAUUCAGUCCUGCUUCCCUGCUCAGUGGCAAAACCUUAAACUAUUGGCUUAAAGUAGUUUGGUCAUUCUCCUGACAUCAACAAGGCAUUUUCACCCAGAUACCUGCCACUCACUGGGGAUUUUCUCCUUUAUGGUCUUUUACUAGUAAACCCAGAUAACCCAGACCAGCCUGUCAGCCAUGUCACAUUCAAUCACCUUUCUUCCUGACGCUCAGUUUGAAGAUGAAUAAUAUAGCAGACCAGUCACUAAUAAAAUGAGUCAAUGAAAUGUGGCCAAACCUGAAAAUUAGACUUAAAAUUGUGUUUAUGUGAGUAUUUUCUCAAACAAGUCAAAAAUAAAGUUUGGUUCCAGAGGAGAUCUGUAGAGUUAGACCAGGAUCUCUGAGUUUAGGGUUUCACUACAGUUAAAUUCAAUAUCUUCAUAAAUUCAUAAAAGUUACACAGUACAUGUUGGGAAAUAAUACCAAAACUUACAUAGUGUAUUUUAAGAUACUACAAAACAACAACAAUAC